UGGUGAUUUAGUUGAAUUCCUUGAUAAUGAAUUGAGAAUUCAAUACUAUGACGAUGAAUUUUAUAGUGUUUUAACUCAAGGAACAUAUGGACUUUGUUACCACAUCAUUGAUGACUGAACAAGCCCCGAUCUUUUUCCCGAAAUUAAUGAAGUGUCAAUAUUCACAAUACAGUCUAAUACCAUUUUGUACCAAGAAACGAAUCACCUCAAGAAAAGGAUACAUCAAAUCUAUGGGGAAAUGACGGUUUUAAUUCAGAUGUGAAUUACAUUUUAUGGCGGGCAAUAGAGUCCAAAAACUAUUUGUAAAAAUUAGUAUUUUGUGUGUAAAUUUUAUGUAGAGUCUUCAAUUAUGUUAAGC